rnacentral:rRNA from 1 species
GAACGCUGGCGGCGUGCCUAAUACACGCAAGUUUAGCGAACAGAUAAGGAGCUUGCUCCUUUGACGUUAGCGGCGGACGGGUGAGUAACACGUGGGUAACCUACCUAUAAGACUGGAAUAACUCCGGGAAACCGGGGCUAAUGCCGGAUAACAUGUUGAACCGCAUGGUUCUACAGUGAAAGACGGUCUUGCUGUCACUUAUAGAUGGACCCGCGCCGUAUUAGCUAGUUGGUGGGGUAACGGCCUACCAAGGCGACGAUACGUAGCCGACCUGAGAGGGUGAUCGGCCACACUGGAACUGAGACACGGUCCAGACUCCUACGGGAGGCAGCAGUAGGGAAUCUUCCGCAAUGGGCGAAAGCCUGACGGAGCAACGCCGCGUGAGUGAUGAAGGUCUUCGGAUCGUAAAGCUCUGUUGUUAGGGAAGAACAAAUGUGUAAGUAACUGUGCACAUCUUGACGGUACCUAACCAGAAAGCCACGGCUAACUACGUGCCAGCAGCCGCGGUAAUACGUAGGUGGCAAGCGUUAUCCGGAAUUAUUGGGCGUAAAGCGCGCGUAGGCGGUUUUUUAAGUCUGAUGUGAAAGCCCACGGCUCAACCGUGGAGGGUCAUUGGAAACUGGAAAACUUGAGUGCAGAAGAGGAAAGUGGAAUUCCAUGUGUAGCGGUGAAAUGCGCAGAGAUAUGGAGGAACACCAGUGGCGAAGGCGGCUUUCUGGUGGUCUGCAACUGACGCUGAUGUGCGAAAGCGUGGGGAUCAAACAGGAUUAGAUACCCUGGUAGUCCACGCCGUAAACGAUGAGUGCUAAGUGUUAGGGGGUUUCCGCCCCUUAGUGCUGCAGCUAACGCAUUAAGCACUCCGCCUGGGGAGUACGGUCGCAAGACUGAAACUCAAAGGAAUUGACGGGGACCCGCACAAGCGGUGGAGCAUGUGGUUUAAUUCGAAGCAACGCGAAGAACCUUACCAAAUCUUGACAUCCUUUGACCGCUCUAGAGAUAGAGUUUUCCUCUUCGGAGGACAAAGUGACAGGUGGUGCAUGGUUGUCGUCAGCUCGUGUCGUGAGAUGUUGGGUUAAGUCCCCGCAACGAGCGCAACCCUUGAACUUAGUUGCCAUCAUUCAGUUGGGCACUCUAAGUUGACUGCCGGUGACAAACCGGAGGAAGGUGGGGAUGACGUCAAAUCAUCAUGCCCCUUAUGAUUUUGGGCUACACACGUGCUACAAUGGACAAUACAAAGGGCAGCGAAAACCGCGAGGUCAAGCAAAUCCCAUAAAGUUGUUCUCAGUUCGGAUUGUAGUCUGCAACUCGACUACAUGAAGCUGGAAUCGCUAGUAAUCGUAGAUCAGCAUGCUACGGUGAAUACGUUCCCGGGUCUUGUACACACCGCCCGUCACACCACGAGAGUUUGUAACACCCGAAGCCGGUGGAGUAACCAUUUUGGAGCUGGCCGUCGAAGGUGGGACAAAUGAUUGGGGUG